UACGUAGGGUCCGAGCGUUGUCCGGAUUUAUUGGGCGUAAAGAGCUCGUAGGCGGUUUCGUAAGUCGGAUGUGAAAUCUCAGGGCUCAACCCGGAAACUGCACCCGAUACUGCGAUGACUUGAGUCUGGUAGGGGAACACGGAAUUCCUGGUGUAGCGGUGAAAUGCGUAGAGAGUCGGGAGGAACAUCAGUUGCGAAGGCGGCUCUCUGGACCAGCACUGACACUGAGGCACGAAAGCGUGGGGAGCAAACA
rnacentral:rRNA from 1 species